rnacentral:rRNA from 1 species
AGAGUUUGAUCAUGGCUCAGGAUGAACGCUGGCGGCGUGCGUAACACAUGCAAGUUGAGCGACGACGCAUCUGAAGUGGCAACAUGGAAGGUGCGAGCGGAGCAGCGGACGGGUGAGUACAACAUGAGAAGCUGUCCUCUGGUGGGGGACAACGUCUAGAAAUGGACGCUAAUACCCCAUAGGCCGAAAGGUUGAAGCAGCAAUGUGCCAGAGGAGGUGCUCGUGCCCUAUCAGCUAGUUGGUGAGGUAAUGGCUCACCAAGGCGACGACGGGUAGCCGGCCUGAGAGGGUGUCCGGCCACACUGGGACUGAGAUACGGCCCAGACUCCUACGGGAGGCAGCAGUGGGGAAUAUUGGGCAAUGGGAGAAAUCCUGACCCAGCGACGCCGCGUGAACGAAGAAGGCCUUCGGGUCGUAAAGUUCUUUUAUGCGGGAAGAAGAAAGUGACGGUACCGCAUGAAUAAGCCCCGGCUAACUACGUGCCAGCAGCCGCGGUAAUACGUAGGGGGCGAGCGUUGUCCGGAAUUACUGGGCGUAAAGGGCACGCAGGCGGUGUGUCAAGUCAGCUGUAAAAGGAUGCGGCUUAACCGUAUUGUGCAGUUGAGACUGACGUACUGGAGUACUGGAGAGGCAAGUGGAAUUCCCAGUGUAGCGGUGAAAUGCGUAGAUAUUGGGAAGAACAUCGGUGGCGAAGGCGACUUGCUGGCCAGUAACUGACGCUGAGGUGCGAAAGCCAGGGUAGCAAACGGGAUUAGAUACCCCGGUAGUCCUGGCCGUAAACGAUGAAUGCUAGGUGUGCGUGCAGAGAUGCAGGUGUGCCGUAGUUAACGCGAUAAGCAUUCCGCCUGGGGAGUACGGUCGCAAGGUUGAAACUCAAAGGAAUUGACGGGGGCCCGCACAAGCGGAGGAACAUGUGGUUUAAUUCGAUGAUACGCGAGGAACCUUACCCGGGCUCGAACGGCAGAGGAACAAUCCAGAGAUGGUGCGGCCCUUCGGGGCUUCUGUCGAGGUGCUGCAUGGUUGUCGUCAGCUCGUGCCGUGAGGUGUCGGCUCAAGUGCCAUAACGAGCGCAACCCUUGCCGUCAGUUACCAGCACGUCGUGGUGGGGACUCUGGCGGGACUGCCACCGCAAGGUGAGAGGAAGGGGGGGAUGACGUCAAAUCAGCACGGCCCUUACGUCCGGGGCGACACACGUGUUACAAUGGGUGCCACAGAGGGUAUCUACCUGGCGACAGGAUGGUGAUCUCGAAAAGCGCCCUCAGUUCGGAUCGGAGUCUGCAACCCGACUCCGUGAAGCUGGAUUCGCUAGUAAUCGCGCAUCAGCCAUGGCGCGGUGAAUACGUUCCCGGGCCUUGUACACACCGCCCGUCAAGCCAUGAAAGCCUGGGGCGCCUGAAGUCCGUGACCGAGAGGAGCGGCCUAGGGCGAAACAGGUAAUUGGGGCUAAGUCGUAACAAGGUAACCGUA